rnacentral:tRNA from 1 species
GGGCGUUUAGCUCAGCUGGUUCAGAGCAUCUGCCUUACAAGCAGAGGGUCGGCGGUUCGAAUCCGUCCACCCCCCCCU